rnacentral:rRNA from 1 species
AGAGUUUGAUCCUGGCUCAGGACGAACGCUGGCGGCGCGCCUAACACAUGCAAGUCGAACGGAGCUGAGAGGAGCUUGCUUUUCUUAGCUUAGUGGCGAACGGGUGAGUAACGCGUGAGUAACCUGCCCUGGAGUGGGGGACAACAGUUGGAAACGACUGCUAAUACCGCAUAAGCCCACGAUCCGGCAUCGGAUUGAGGGAAAAGGAUUUAUUCGCUUCAGGAUGGACUCGCGUCCAAUUAGCUAGUUGGUGAGGUAACGGCCCACCAAGGCGACGAUUGGUAGCCGGACUGAGAGGUUGAACGGCCACAUUGGGACUGAGACACGGCCCAGACUCCUACGGGAGGCAGCAGUGGGGGAUAUUGCACAAUGGGGGAAACCCUGAUGCAGCGACGCCGCGUGGAGGAAGAAGGUCUUCGGAUUGUAAACUCCUGUUGUUGAGGAAGAUAAUGACGGUACUCAACAAGGAAGUGACGGCUAACUACGUGCCAGCAGCCGCGGUAAAACGUAGGUCACAAGCGUUGUCCGGAAUUACUGGGUGUAAAGGGAGCGCAGGCGGGAAGACAAGUUGGAAGUGAAAUCCAUGGGCUCAACCCAUGAACUGCUUUCAAAACUGUUUUUCUUGAGUAGUGCAGAGGUAGGCGGAAUUCCCGGUGUAGCGGUGGAAUGCGUAGAUAUCGGGAGGAACACCAGUGGCGAAGGCGGCCUACUGGGCACCAACUGACGCUGAGGCUCGAAAGUGUGGGUAGCAAACAGGAUUAGAUACCCUGGUAGUCCACACCGUAAACGAUGAUUACUAGGUGUUGGAGGAUUGACCCCUUCAGUGCCGCAGUUAACACAAUAAGUAAUCCACCUGGGGAGUACGACCGCAAGGUUGAAACUCAAAGGAAUUGACGGGGGCCCGCACAA